CACGUAGGGCGCAAGCGUUGUCCGGAAUUAUUGGGCGUAAAGAGCUCGUAGGCGGUUUGUCGCGUCUGCUGUGAAAACCCGAGGCUCAACCUCGGGCCUGCAGUGGGUACGGGCGGACUAGAGUGCGGUAGGGGAGAUUGGAAUUCCUGGUGUAGCGGUGGAAUGCGCAGAUAUCAGGAGGAACACCGAUGGCGAAGGCAGAUCUCUGGGCCGUAACUGACGCUGAGGAGCGAAAGCAUGGGGAGCGAACAGG
rnacentral:rRNA from 1 species